UUAAAGCCUGAGCCCGGUGCUUGAGCUCUGGCCCUCCUGGAUCGCUGCCCGGAGCUCAACCCAGUGUCCUGGCCCUCUGCACCGUGGACACGAAGCAAAGCCAGCACUGGAGUGCUCAGCAAGAUAGUCCUCUGGAUGCUGUAUUUUCCUCUCAAGUCAGCAGCUUCCUUUCAGCCCAUACGUCGGCGAGAGGUGUGGAGGACGCCCGCCCGCCGCGGUCCCUUGCACGGGGAGCCUGGAGGCUCACGGGGAACCUGAGCUCCCACCCAGACAGCCUUUGUCAAAAUGAACCUCAGCAAGAAGGGGUUUUCCUUCCUUAAAAAAUAUUGCAAACAGAAGAUUCCCAUGUUUGAAAGGUCAGAGGAAAAAAUAUAAUGCACUCAUGAAGAGACAACCUCAUUAAUCCUGUUGUUCUUGGCCCAGUCAGUAGAAGAAACAUAAAUGCUGUCAACACUGUGCUGCUAGAUAAAGGAUAAAAAGUGGGAAUGAAAUGUUUUACUGCAAGGACUGUUCUUAUGGUUUGAGAACAUUUCUGGAAAUAACCUGAGCUGAGAAAAUGUUCCCUAGGAGGAAUACAUGCUGUGGGAAACUGUGUGGAAGAUAAAGUUUGGUCAGUGACCUUCUCACUAUCCUCUAAUCACGCAGCACACACUGCUCCAAAGAGAAAAAAGAAAAAGGGAUACUGUGCAGCAAGAGACACUUUACCUUCCCUGCAUUACAUGAACUGGAGUGGAAAACACAAGAGUAUCAUAAAUCUCUAUUUCAUGCUUUCGGAUACUGUAGUGAAAUAAUAAUCUUCUGUAACUCGCAGGGGGAAAAAAAUGUGACUUUUGGUUUAGGGCACUUUAAUAGCACAAAAUGCAAUACACCUUCAGUGAGCAUAAAAACAAAUGACUAGAAGUUGCUAAAAGGGGAACGUGCCUUUUCGUCUGUGCAACAUUAGAAACGGAGAAAGAUCAUCACAUUUCUCAUCCGAACCCUGGAAUGACAGAGAGGAGGAAGACGCAAGGCUACCUCUGCAGUGCAGGCGCUUCCCAGAGAUGAUCCAUCACAGAAAACCUCAGUUUAAAUACUUGCAUGGUAAUGCAGCAGCACCGCUCAGACACUGUAUCUGUGCAGAAACUACCAGAAGUCUGACAAGAAAGCCUGAUCUCCAGCCAGAUUUCUUGAAAUGUUAAUAAGAGUUCCUUAUUCAAAAAGCACCUUCAAAACUUCUUAACUAUCAGGAAGAGAACCUCAGAUGUCUCAUUACCUACCACAAUAUUCCUGGAAAAAGACCAAGAAGUGCCCUACAGAAUUCUCCUGCUACGGUCCUAGUAUUUUUGUCUGGCUCAAGUUCAGAAGGUUCUAUAGCUUUGCUGAAUAUUUCCAAAGGCCUCUUGCCUGUACCUUCGUGCAACAACAAUCAUAUUUGGCCUUGAAAUUACCACUUAAAAGACAAGAGAAACCAUUUGCUUGUCUGUCCUUUUAUGGUGUAAUGAAGCAGGUGGAUUUCUACUGAGCUCUUUGCCUGUGACUUCUCCAGAAGGAAUGCAGCCUGCUCCCAGCCCCACAAUGACUGGAAGGCCCAUAUUCAAAGGUCCUGGGACCGACUUUUUUUUCCACACUUACUCAUUCUGCCAGAGUGUAUAGAAACCCAGAAGAAGUAAAAAAAGCAAAACCCUAAAUCUGAGACCCUCUUAAUAAAUUGAAUAAACAAGCUAUUUGCUAACAUUUGGACUUUGGGUCUACUAUCUCUUUUUGUGAAGACUAUUUUCUCAAUCAAGGAAACUUCUAAUCUCUUUGUCCAUGUCAUACAAGGAGAGGAUGGACCUCUGACCUUUGUUUUCCUCUCUACUUAAUCCCAUUAUUUAUUCUCUUUUGCUCCUUAACUGGUACAGUUCAUAUGCUUUGAUAUGUUUUAAAUUUCCACAUAUUUCUGUAUUCGAUUUUUUGGACAACACUCCUGAAGAAAUGAAGCUUACACAUUGGCUCUAUCUGCCAGACUUUUUCUUCCUUAACUAUUUCCAAAUUCAUUGGCUUAUUCCAAUCUGAUUCAAUAGAGAGGUAAGAACCCUAAAGAUAAUUAAAUUCCUGUAAGUUCUGCAAACAUUGGCACCUGAAGACAGGCAGGGUCUUGAAAGAGGGCAUCUCUGCUGCAGGAAAAGCUGCAACAUGAGGCUCUACAGUAACAUUUCUGCUGACUUGGCAUUGGCCAAGAGGCACACAUGGGUCUGUAGAGCUCCGAGUCUCUCCUGUAAGCAGAAGGUCAGGGGAAACUGAGGCAGAGUCUGUAGGCUGUACAGUACAUAUGUCUGUAUGGGUACAUACUUGUGCUCGACAACUACACGAUAUCCUCUGUUGGCUAUGGGGCAGGGCUGGGAGUCGGGAGACAGACUUCCAUCUGUUAGUAAAAGGUUGUGGGACUGCAGAAAGUUUUCUCUUUUUUCUCCCACUCUGUCCUUUUUUUCCUCUCCCACACUUUGCUUUUUUUAUUAGUUUGAGCUAAAAGUCCUUGGGCGGAAAGGCCUUUUUUUCACCAGAUGUUUGCAUGAGCCUAACACAUUGGGAGCCCUUUCCUAGUCGAAGACCAGAUGGCCUAUUGCAAAGUAGAUAAUAACAAGACUCCAGUAAAUACUGAUGUUCUUAUAUCUAUGUGACAACAUCACCUUUGAAAUGGGAAUACUCAUCUGUAUAUGUGAUAAGAAUACAUUUUUACUUGUAUAUUUAGCUGUAUUAACCCCACUAUAAUAAAAGCAUACAAUUUUAAAAGCGUGUCCAUUAAAAUUAACGGACAAGCUGACAGAGAUCAAACUUAUUUUCUACAAAGAGAUUUAGAAUCUUAAGGCAUCUGACAUUCUGCCAUGCCUGUCUUGUUUCUGUUCCACUGUGUUCUACUGUGCUGCGUGCUCUACUCAGCCCGUUAAAGCACUCUCUCUUCCCCUGCUCAAAGACAAAGGUUGGACCUCUCAUGAACAUUGUCUACCGCCCACAAGUCAGGCUCCAGACCCAUCUAUAAAUUUCAUUUGCCUCUUGAAGAGAAGAAAUUUUCCUUGACGAAGGUGAUUAUCAGGUAUUAAAGGCUAAUCUUGUAAUAAAUUUGUGAAUUAGUAAGCUUAUUUCUUAACUAGUCAAAAGCAAAUCCCUCUUGCUCAUACCUUGUUAUGCUAGCAUCGCACGCUAUCGUAUCACUGGUAUUUAAUAGUUUCCCAGGGAAAAAAAAAAUCACAGGCAGAGAUAUUCACUCACUGA